AACGAACGUUAGCGGCGCGCCUAACACAUGCAAGUCGAGCGAGAAAGGGCUUCGGCCCCGGUAAAGCGGCGCACGGGUGAGUAACACGUGGGUAACCUGCCCUCGAGUCGGGGAUAACAUUCCGAAAGGAGUGCUAAUACCGGAUAAGACCACGACCUCGAAAGAGGAAGCGGUCGAAGCUGGCCUCUAUAUAUAAGCUAGCGCUUGAGGAUGGGCCCGCGGCGCAUCAGGUAGUUGGUGAGGUAAUGGCUCACCAAGCCUAAGACGCGUAGCUGGUCUGAGAGGAUGAUCAGCCACACUGGAACUGAGACACGGCCCAGACUCCUACGGGAGGCAGCAGUGGGGAAUCUUGCGCAAUGGGCGAAAGCCUGACGCAGCGACGCCGCGUGAGUG
rnacentral:rRNA from 1 species